rnacentral:lncRNA from 1 species
UGAUUAUGAACCUAAGCCUACGAUAAUUGAGCUAUGUGAAAGGCCGUCUCAAAUUUGUUUGAAUCAUGGGAAUGUGUAGAUUAGAUUUUGGUUGUAAUUUGAUAUGAUCAAAUAUUGUAAAAGAGUAUAAGCUCUUCUUUACUUUAAAGUAAUUUGUUUUGAUCAAAUGUUGUAAAAGAGCAUAAGCUCUUCUUUACUUUGAAGUACUUCUUUCUUGCUUUAUUUGAUAUGCAUGAAAAUGAAGUAAAGGGUCCAACGCCCAAUAAGAAAACACGCCUUAAUGUGAUUAAAUGCGUAACUAAAAUCAAUCACCAUCCCUAGACCGAGAUUCAACACUAGGCUCGUGUUGGAUCGAAUCAAAGGUUCAUAGUCAUCCGAAGGCCCUAAGGUAACUAUAUAGUCCAUCAAUGAAUGCAAACCUUAUGUUACUAGAACCUUAUACUCUUGCUUUAAAAACCGUUUUACAAGCAUAGUGGGAGUAUCAUAUACAACUAAAUCAAUCACAUGGACCAAUAGUUGUAAUAGGACCAAAUUGUUUUAAUAAGAUUAAAAUGCAUGCUUAUAUGUGAUGAGACCUAAAACCCUCAACCAAACCAUUAUUAAGUUGAUAAGCGUGACAGUGCUUUGAACACUCUUUCGUGGCCUUCCACCGUGGUAGGCUCCGAUCGUUUAUGACUCGUACACCGACUUCACCCUAUCAUGGGGGAGUGCAAAGUGCGUGCUUACACUCAGGAGGAGUUCUAUAUGCAUACAUGAUGUUGUGAAGGUAGGUAACGAGAAUGAUCAACAUCACAUCAUUGUGAGGUUGUUCUUGAACCCCUACUCGAACUUGCAUGGUGGGAAUGACUUAACUAAGUGCAAUAGAGCCAACAUCAUAUCAUUGUGAGGCUUCAUUCUCUAAAGGCCAAAUAAGAUGGGUACUUGCAAGAGAUGCAAAUGAGUAAGCGUACUCUCUCAUUAUUAUUGAUGCUAGCAAACAUCAUAUCAUUGUGAGGUGGGCUUGGUAAUGAUGAGUCUCCCAUACCCUACUAAGAGUUUCCUCCAAGACUCUCAAAUUCCGAUGAGGGAUAUGGAAUUUGCCAAAAAUAGUGGGUGGUGCUAUUUGAUUUAAAGACCCGGAUCAAAUGGCUUAAAAUCAAUCAAUUUAUAUUCGUUAUGUAUUUAUUUACCAAUAUAUUUCCAAACGCUAUCAAAAACUUGACAAAGAAAAAGCCGAAAGCUUUAGUUUCCGGACUUAGUACUACAAUCCCAUAGAUUGUCUUUAAUGGCUUGUAUAUGUACCUAAGUAGUCUCAUCCUCACAAUCUUCCUAUUGAUAAUGUAUCAUUGGAAGAACAUGUUAGAUAAGUCUAUCAUAAAGAGGACAACACUUUUAAUGUCAUAAUUCUUUAAUUACAAAUUGUUUUAUGAAGAAGUAAGAGUUGCUUUGAACAACCCUUAGUUAACGCAAACAUUAGUGUUUGUUUCUUGUUACAUGAACAAGGAACUUGAGAAGUAAGCACAAGGGCAUGGAUACUUUAUGUGCCAUGAUUCUUCACUUACAAAUUGUUGUAUGAAGAAAUGAGAGUUGCCUUGAACAACUCUUG